rnacentral:rRNA from 1 species
AAUCUUUUUCUAGCUAAACUUGUGAGAAAGGGUGAAUCAACUAGGUAAAUCAAUUUGAGGUGAAUAGUUUUGUAGAAGGUAUUGAAAGAAUAACAAAAGCGAUAGAGAAAGUACUGAGAAGGAAAGAUGAAAUAUUAAAUAAUUAAUGGAAAGUAGACUAAGUGUUGUACCUUUUGUAUCAGGGUUUAUUAAAUAGAGGGGAUAAUUCUUAUAUCUCGAUAUGAGGAGCGCUAUGGGUAUAAGUCAGUUAAUGUGGUAAAUUUAUUGAACAUAUACUUAUAGGAAUGAGAUAUUAGCCGAUCCUCAAGGUAUCUAGUUUCUUAAGAAAUGAAUUUAAUUCAGGCGUUCUAAGAGGUUUAGGCAAUGAACUUAAAUCUUUAAAAAUAGCUAAUAUUAAGGGGGAUAAGCUCCUUAGUAGAUCUAUAAAGGUGUCAGUAGUGAAAAUAGGUAGGCUUGAAAGUAGCCACCCAUAAAGGAUGUUAUAGUUUAUUUUCUGUAAUUGGAAUUUUAAUCUGUUUAGAGGAGUAUUAAGAAACAACUUUGAAUCAGUAAAGUUGGGUAUAAUGAUAAAAUAAGUAGAAGUACUUAUUAAAUGAGAAAUUUCAAUAAGGAACUCGGCAAAUAUAAUGCUCGCCUGUUUAUCAAAAACAUCGCCUCUUGUAUGAAUAGGAGGUCUAGCCUGCCCACUGAAAAUUAAAGGGCCGCGGUAUUUUGACCGUGCAAAGGUAGCAUAAUCAUUAGUCUUCUAAUUAAAGGCUGGAAUGAAUGGUUGGACGAGGUAUUAGCUGUCUCUUUGGAAUUAAUUUGAAUUUAACUUUCUAGUGAAAAGGCUGGAAUAAUAUUGGAGGACGAGAAGACCCUAUAGAGCUUUAUAUUUGUCUUUAUUUUAAUUUAUUUGGUAGGAGUGUAAUUUUGUAGGGAGAAUAUUUCGUUGGGGUGACGGGAAGAUAAGAUAAACUCUUCUUAAAAUAAAACACAAAUGCGUGAUUUAGUUGAUCCAUUAUUAAUGAUUAAAAGACUAAGUUACCUUAGGGAUAACAGCGUAAUCUUUUUUGAGAGUUCUAAUCGACAAAAAGGGUUGCGACCUCGAUGUUGGACUAAGGGUUAUUCUUGGGUGUAGCAGUUCAAGGUUUAGGUCUGUUCGACCUUUGAAUCCUUACAUGAUCUGAGUUCAGACCGGCGUAAGCCAGGUCGGUUUCUAUCCUCAAUUAUAGUAAAUAUUUUAGUACGAAAGGACCAAAUAUUAAAGAUAGUCUUGUAAUUAGAAUACUAGUAACUAAUA